rnacentral:rRNA from 1 species
CCUACGGGUGGCUGCAGUGGGGAAUUUUGCGCAAUGGGCGAAAGCCUGACGCAGCAACGCCGCGUGAGUGAUGAAGGCUUUCGGGUCGUAAAGCUCUGUCAAUGGGAAAGAAGUGUAUUGUGGCUAAUAUCCACGAUACUUGACGGUACCCAUAAAGGAAGCACCGGCUAACUCCGUGCCAGCAGCCGCGGUAAUACGGGGGGUGCAAGCGUGGUUCGGAAUUGUGGGGCGGAAAGCGCUUGUAGGCGGUGAAAGCCCUGGGCUCAACCCAGGAAGUGCAUUGGAAACUGGCAGACUUGAAUACGGGAGAGGGUAGUGGAAUUCCUGGUGUAGGAGUGAAAUCCGUAGAGAUCAGGAGGAACACCGGUGGCGAAGGCGGCUGCCUGGACCGAUAUUGACGCUGAGACGCGAAAGCGUGGGUAGCAAACAGGAUUAGAUACCCCGGUAGUC